rnacentral:rRNA from 1 species
GAUGAACGCUGGCGGCGUGCCUAACACAUGCAAGUCGAACGAAGCUUGACGGAUGAUUUCUUCGAAAUGAAACCAGAUAUGACUUAGUGGCGGACGGGUGAGUAACACGUGAGCAACCUGCCUUUCAGAGGGGGAUAACGGCUGGAAACGGUCGCUAAUACCGCAUGAUGUGAUCGGAUGGCAUCAUCUGAACAUCAAAGAUUUAUCGCUGAAAGAUGGGCUCGCGUCUGAUUAGAUAGUUGGUGGGGUAACGGCCUACCAAGUCUACGAUCAGUAGCCGGACUGAGAGGUUGAACGGCCACAUUGGGACUGAGAUACGGCCCAGACUCCUACGGGAGGCGGCAGUGGGGAAUAUUGCACAAUGGGGGAAACCCUGAUGCAGCAACGCCGCGUGAAGGAUGACGGUUUUCGGAUUGUAAACUUCUUUUCUUAGUGACGAAGACAGUGACGGUAGCUAAGGAAUAAGCAUCGGCUAACUACGUG